AACUCCGAAUGCCAAUUAAUUUAACUUGGGAGUCAGAACAUGGGUGAUAAGGUCCGUGUUCGAAAGGGAAACAGCCCAGACCACCAGCUAAGGUCCCAAAAUAUAUGUUAAGUGGAAAAGGAUGUGGCGUUGCCCAGACAACUAGGAUGUUGGCUUAGAAGCAGCCAUCAUUUAAAGAGUGCGUAAUAGCUCACUAGUCGAGUGACACUGCGCCGAAAAUGUACCGGGGCUAAACAUAUUACCGAAGCUGUGGAUUGUCCUUUGGACAAUGGUAGGAGAGCGUUCUAAGGGCGUUGAAGCAUGAUCGUAAGGACAUGUGGAGCGCUUAGAAGUGAGAAUGCCGGUGUGAGUAGCGAAAGACGGGUGAGAAUCCCGUCCACCGAUUGACUAAGGUUUCCAGAGGAAGGCUCGUCCGCUCUGGGUUAGUCGGGUCCUAAGCUGAGGCCGACAGGCGUAGGCGAUGGAUAACAGGUUGAUAUUCCUGUACCACCUAUAAUCGUUUUAAUCGAUGGGGGGACGCAGUAGGAUAGGCGAAGCGUGCGAUUGGAUUGCACGUCUAAGCAGUAAGGCUGAGUAUUAGGCAAAUCCGGUACUCGUUAAGGCUGAGCUGUGAUGGGGAGAAGACAUUGUGUCUUCGAGUCGUUGAUUUCACACUGCCGAGAAAAGCCUCUAGAUAGAAAAUAGGUGCCCGUACCGCAAACCGACACAGGUAGUCAAGAUGAGAAUUCUAAGGUGAGCGAGCGAACUCUCGUUAAGGAACUCGGCAAAAUGACCCCGUAACUUCGGGAGAAGGGGUGCUCUUUAGGGUUAACGCCCAGAAGAGCCGCAGUGAAUAGGCCCAAGCGACUGUUUAUCAAAAACACAGGUCUCUGCUAAACCGUAAGGUGAUGUAUAGGGGCUGACGCCUGCCCGGUGCUGGAAGGUUAAGAGGAGUGGUUAGCUUCUGCGAAGCUACGAAUCGAAGCCCCAGUAAACGGCGGCCGUAACUAUAACGGUCCUAAGGUAGCGAAAUUCCUUGUCGGGUAAGUUCCGACCCGCACGAAAGGCGUAACGAUUUGGGCACUGUCUCAACGAGAGACUCGGUGAAAUCAUAGUACCUGUGAAGAUGCAGGUUACCCGCGACAGGACGGAAAGACCCC
rnacentral:rRNA from 1 species